CCUACGGGAGGCAGCAGUAGGGAAUAUUGCUCAAUGGGGGAAACCCUGAAGCAGCAACGCCGCGUGGAGGAUGAAGGUUUUCGGAUUGUAAACUCCUUUUGUUAGAGAAGAUAAUGACGGUAUCUAACGAAUAAGCACCGGCUAACUCCGUGCCAGCAGCCGCGGUAAUACGGAGGGUGCAAGCGUUACUCGGAAUCACUGGGCGUAAAGAGCGCGUAGGCGGGAUAGCAAGUCAGAUGUGAAAUCCUAGGGCUUAACCAUAGAACUGCAUUUGAAACUGUUAUUCUAGAGUAUGGGAGAGGUAGGUGGAAUUCUUGGUGUAGGGGUAAAAUCCGUAGAGAUCAAGAGGAAUACUCAUUGCGAAGGCGACCUGCUAGAACAUAACUGACGCUGAGGCGCGAAAGCGUGGGGAGCAAACAGGAUUAGAUACCCUUGUAGUC
rnacentral:rRNA from 1 species